UGGGUUGUAGCUCAGUGGUAGAGCGCUUGCCUAGCAUGUGUGAGGCACUGGGUUCAAUUCUCAGCACCACAU
rnacentral:tRNA from 1 species